rnacentral:rRNA from 1 species
UACAGAGGUCUCAAGCGUUGUUCGGAUUCAUUGGGCGUAAAGGGUGCGUAGGUGGCGCUGUAAGUCGGGUGUGAAAUUUCGGAGCUUAACUCCGAAACUGCAUUCGAUACUGCGGUGCUUGAGGACUGGAGAGGAGACUGGAAUUCAUGGUGUAGCAGUGAAAUGCGUUGAUAUCGAUAGGAACUCCGGUGGCGAAGGCGGCAUACUGGACCACAUCUGACGCUGAGGCGCGAAAGCCAGGGGAGCAAACGGG